CUAAAAUAUGACCAACACUUUGUUGAAAAAAUAGUUUGAAGAAGUUGACUCUAUUAUAAAAAUCAAAAAUAUUAUUCCAGGCUGUGAUUAUCAUGACGAAAGAGCAGUAUUUCGAAGUUCUUUAAGAAACAUACCUUACAUAAAUGUGAUACUUUGUAUCAAAACGAAAUAUGUUAGACUAUGUGUAAUAGAAAAAGAACAUUCAAGUUUACAUUUUUUUAAUUUAUGAAGAAUUCAUCGUAAUAUGCGGGCCUUCAUCAAGAAGUAUUACCGACUAAAAUGUCGUUUACAUAAGAUAAAUAGAAUUUGAAUGCUGAAGGCUAAUACAAGCAAAGUUAUCUUAUUAUUCUGGUUAUGCCCCCAGGCACUUUUUAUUUCUCGGAAUAAGUCAAUAUUUAUAUGUAAAUGGUAUAUAUAACAUAAUCUUAAAUAUUUAAUACUUUAUUUAGAAAUAUUAUUUAUUGUUUAAGCUUUGUAAGAAGAACCCUGUUAACCAUAAGCAUUUCAAUAAGCUUUUUUUUUUUCAAAAGAUCAUUUCUAUUCGAUGCUAGUCAUUGGCCCUUUAUCCGUUUUAUCAUUAGUUGAUUUGUAUUUUUUCAGUCCUGGGUGAUUUUUACAAAAUAAACAGAUAAAACAGGACAACAUUGGACGGUUUUGUUCAGAAGUUCCCAUCAUUGCAACGCAAGAACGUUGACAUAUUUUACGGGACCUUGGAUUACGGAGUUAAGGUCUACAUGCAAGGUUCUGCCCAUUUGAAAUAAUAUACUAAGACAAAGAUUCCUUGUAAAAUUGUACUAAAGAGCACUUCUUAUUUUCGUAAAAACUGGAAUGGAAAUGACUAAAAAGAACAUCGGAGCAAGGGAUUUGCUGGAGAAAACUCCUACACAUUUAUGGAAGAUUCAUAUUUGCGAAGGAGGACAACUGAGAAAAAAAAAUCAAAGAAAACGUCGUUUGAAAGCUUCCUCAUUCUUAUGACAAACACAAAAGGAGCUUUACCUUCAGCCACUCCAAGACUGGCAGCAAAGUGAAACGGUACUGAUAACAAGACAUUCCUCCAGGCGGUUUGCUCUGUUCUGCUUGAAUCCAGCCUCUGUCAGAGAAGACGUGAUGUCAUAAGAACUGCUAUAUGGAGGCAAUAACAGGCCAAGAUGGUGGGUCCUGGCUGUGGGUCCUCUAGGCAUAUCUAUCAGAAAACCCCUCCCUUGUCUUGUGAAAUACGCUUUUGCUGUCAAUGAAACAUAAAAGAAAUAUCAAUUGUAUUUGGAAAUUUGUGCCUUUAAUGUAUUUAUUAAUGAACAUAUUUUUAUAGUGAUUUCUUGUUGAAGUCUGCAGUGAAUAAUUCAGGAAAGGUGCACCUACUGUGUGAAAGACGAUAUCUCCUUUUUGACUUUUGGAGUCCUAUUUUACAUUUACCCACUGGUGGACCAACUCUCCCAUUACAUGUGACUGAGCUCUGCUUCUGCAGUUUCAGCUGAUAUCAAUAAGGAGGUCAAAUGGUGAAGUUCUAUUCUGUAUUUCAUAGUGCUCUGUUAUCCUGAUAUCUAUGUCAUCCUUAAGAAAAUAAGAACAUUUCUUUAAAAUACUUCACAUAAAGGAUUUGUACCUUUUGUCAUAACGUUUGAUUGACCUUUUUUUGUCAUAAGGUUUGAUUUUAAUUGAAAAAAUAUACUUUAUAUUUUACGAUUCAUAUGUUUACCAAAAGGGGAGAGGGGGUUGAAAAGUAAAGUACUGUACUAAAUGUGGAGCUGAUACUUUUCAAGGCAAAAACUUUACAUCAGUGUUGUAUCUCAAUUUAUGCCCUGUUCUUCUUGCUAAAACUACUUUUUUUUGCUGUUUUUACGGGAUGUGUUUUGAUUCCCUGGUGUCCAGUACAAUAUGUUGAUUUUAUGGCCUAAUUGCUUCACUCACACUUGCCCUGAUUAGGAAAAUGCAUCUCUGUGCUUAGAACCCUGCUGCAAUUUGGGAUGCUUCUGAAGUAGGAGAAAUCACUGCUUUGACCACCUCUGGCCCUUGUGGCCACAGGAAGACAUGCUGUGGACUAAGAGCUGAAUAUUUCCCAUGAUGCCUGGCUGUUCUAAACUGUGGCUUUCUCAAAUGAUACCAGUGCAGCUGUCUGAAUUAAUUUUAGUCUUAUUACUCUACAGUAUGUAAAAAAAAAAUAGUCUUCUUUAUCAGCUCAGCCUGCCCUGUGGAAAGAUGCUACAUGUUUACUCUCUGAAGUCUUUCAGAUCGUUCUCCUUGCUUGUAUUGUGGAGUGUUUUUUUACAGUGGAAAGCUUUGCUUCAGGUUUUUCCAUUUACAUUCGUUUAAUACUGUAUAAUUACCCUGGGUUCUGGGCCUGUCUGCCCCCUCGUUGGUUGUACUAAUGCAGAGCAAUACAGUAUGUGUAUUUAUGGAAAUGAUAGGCUCAGGAAACGGACCUGUAGUAUAUUACAUUAUUUUCAAAUGUGCCAUUAACAUGCUCAAAGUAACUGCUGUAGCUCUGUGUUUUUGAAAUCCACGCUAUAUAGCUUACUGUGAAACAGCGGUCGAUAAAUGUUUUAUUUUUAUGCUCUCUUGAUAUUUAAUAUCAAAACCUUGCAAAACCCUUAAAAAACAAUAGCUUUGCUGGCUCAGAGGUUUACUUAACACCCUUUACAUUAACAAAUGCCAAGAGAUUUCUAGUAAUGAAUCAAUGAAUUAAUUAACAUGCAAGAAGCAAAAAUAAAUUAAUCGGUCCUGAAUUGUUUGAUAGUUUGGCUUUUUAAUUAAUUAAUGUUAUCCACUUGAGGUAGACAGAUUCAAUUUGCAGCACAAACAAAACUGGAAUGUAUUAGAUCCUUUUGCCAGUAAAGGAUUAUUUGGUGUAGUGUCAGCCCUUUUCAAUCUUUCCAGCAUUUUCCACGAUGAUCAAUUGUAAGGCUGGCCGGAUUCAAGGCCAUAAUUAGCACUGAUCCUCAGUUACAUUGUGCUGUCUCCAGUAUGGAGAGAAUGGAAGAGAGCCAGUGAGACCAUCAAUACUUCAUCAUAAAUGGCUUUUUUAACAAAUGUUCAGAAAGGCUGACAGAAACCAAGUUCUCCUUUACCUCUGCUACUGUACUCCUAAUUCCUAAUCAUCCAUGACAUGUUUUUCCAAAAAUGUAUAAAUGAUAUAAUAACCCCCUUUCUCUUCCUUAUAUUCUUAUAUAUCUCUCAUCCAGUCCAUCUCCAGAUUUGCAGCUGCUCCUUGGUUAACUCUUCACUCUGUAUGGGGGUCCCAGCCAUAUUGCCUUACAGGUCACAACCAGCGGAGACAAAACUCAUUGUUGGUUAUACUGUAUAGUCCACAUUCACAUUCAAGUGGGAUAAGCCAAAACGUCUCACACCUGACUCCUUUAUAAACAUUCAUAUUUCAUUCACAUUACUCUUCAUGAAUACAGGCAUAUCAAACUAAAAUAUCCAAACUGGAGAACUGAAUUGAUUCAUUCAAUUAAAAUCUGGGAAACAGAUUUUAGGUUAAAAAAAUAAGAGUUUCAAAAAACAGAACAUUUGUUGUAUAAGAAAAGCAUACAAAAGGAAGCAAGACAAAGCUCACCACUGGUUAUACUCUAAAGCCUACAGUACAUUCAGCUAUUGAGGAUUGUGUAGGCAUAUUUUCACAGAGGAACAUCCACAAUGGCCAGCCUCAAAAGAGGCUUACAUUUUGCUUUAGUCAUUUACUGUGCAUGUGUUUCCAAGCCUUACUCCAUAUAGUACAUUGUAUCCCAAGAGUAUGUUCAUCAAAAAUCCAUACUUCCAGGUCUGGACUGUGUCUGUGCACUUAAGAGUAAACAGGCCUGCUCUCCUGUUUUGCUGUCAUCUCUACUUACUUUUCUUCAUUGUUAACAGGGACUGGUACUUUAUGAAAUCACAAAAAAAUGUUUAACUACCAGUUCGAACUUAAAUUUGCACACUGAAAUAUUCCUUCAAUUCAAUUUUCCAUGUUUUAUUAUUUUUAAUAGGAAACUACUGUAAAUUUAGCAUGGUGGUAAAAGUGUCCCAAUUAGUUCCAUAUUAAGCCUGUCUCAAUACAGAGGAUCUUAGAAUUGACCAGAAAUUGAAUACAGUUUUUUGUUGUAAAGCUAUAUUUUUUAGAAGAAUUUCACUUAUGUUUAAAGAAGAAUAUUAAUACAAUAUGGACUAAACGCUGUCCUUCCUUGAAGGCAUUCACAAACAUAGUGCUUUUGCUGUCAUGCCUACUAAUUACUAUAAAAUAAGUGUAUCUGUGCCAAAAUCAGAGGCUGGAGCUUAAUUUCCUGACCAAAACCAGUCACUAUAAAAACAGCUGAAAACUUUUGAAAUGUAACACAUUUGGGGAAAACCAAAGCAUUUUAAUUCUACAUUCAUGUUAUUGGUGUGGUGAAUAAUGUCACUGCCUCUCAGCUGCAGAGUCCUCAAGUUGAUUCUGGUCUGGGGCACAUUUCUGUUUGGAGGUUCUUCCAUCUCCCAGAGACAGGCUGGUGGGUUAAUCAGAGGCUGUGGUGAAGGGAACUCUCUGAUUGCUUAACUCACCUGCCCUUCCAGCACUGUCUGAGGCCUCACCGCUUUGUGCUCAAAAUUGAGUGUGGGUGUCGAUCAUAUGAAUCCUUUUUUCUGCUAUAAAACCACAUGCAAGACCAAAUAUCCAUACUAACACAACCUUCCAGCCUUUCAAACACGACUGGAAAGUCUAAAGAUGACUGGAAUUACAAUAUUUUGGUUGGCUCCUAAAUAUGUGAUGUUUUUAUUAAAUAUGUGAUUUAUUUACAAAAUUUAUUCCACAGCUCUCAUAAUUUCACUCCUCAACAAUCAGGGAAUGAAGAAAUAAGAUUCUCAGUUUCUUCAAAAUAGACUACAAACUCUUACAUUCCUGCCCCCAUGGAUAAAAUGUAGCUUUAAAACAUUGAUUUGAUUUCAGUUUAAAUAGGGCAUCUCUGAGAAUUUGGAAAUCUGGGAUAAUCAGACUAAAACUAUUAAAACGUAAUAUUUAAAACAAUAUCAUCAAACUUUAAAGGGUUACAAACCCUUUAUCAUGUUACUGGCACUGCCUUUUUAGUAGCCUACUUACUACAGUAUACUCAUUUGAAGAUGUUGUUAUCCACUGACAGUGUUAUAUUGUGUUAAUUUACUUUUUUGGCACAGUUAUAUUAUAUUUUUGCAAAGGCUGGUUAAUCUGCAGUGAUUCAGUCCCUGUUUAUGUAAGUGAUAUUUGUAAAGACAAGAUAAACUGUUUAAAGCUAACUUGUGUGUUGUCAGUCAUCAUCUGCCCUGUAAAACAAUGUGUUUCUGUGGCAAACUGCCAGAAAAUAAAAAAUACAUAUUUU